CACUACGUCAAUAUCUUAGUGAUUAACAAACAAUUUUAUCAAAUCAGUGUCAUUUUGGCCUUGCAAUACGUAACUCUGUUAAGGGGCUUGGAUGAUUAGAAAGGUUACAGUCCAACUGGAGUUAAAUUGUUAUCGGAGUCUACAGAUGUCACAAUGUGAAUACAACAUGAGAUUGCCAUGAGAUUUAUAGAAAGCCUAGUGUAUAAAGCAGAAACGGGUACUUCAUUUGAUAGUAAAAACGAUUUUGUGAUCUUAUAAAGCUGAGACAAUAAAUACUAAUUUCUUGACACACUAUCAGUUUAAAUCACUAGAGCUCAAAGUGUUGCGCACAUAAACAUUUAUAGAUCGUUCUUGUAUUGCUUUGGAUUCUAGCACCAAUCACACAGUCACAGAUAGUAAAUAUUAAUUAAAAAAAUAAUAGUGAAAUUGGACAUUAAACUAAAAAAUACAAAAUAAUUAUCAUAUCUCAAGCAAUUUAUAAAUAUGAUCAAAAUGACAGAAAACUAAAAUCCGUAGUAUCACUCUAUUGCAGUAUCUGGCAAUAUAGAUAUUUAAGGACUAUAAUUUUAAGUACGGCCACAUCUAUAUCUGAACAACAAGGUGUUCAUUAUUUGAAGGUAUUAAAUUGGCUCCGAUGUAUUUAUUACACCUAUCUACUUACUGUCAUAAUUUUUAGAAAAUGGCUUCUUUAAAGUACUGUAAUUUAUGGUCUGGGGUUGAAGACAAAGAAAAGGCAUGAAAACUAAGCAAAUCAAUUUUAGGGAUAUUUUGCAGAGAAAUACCAGCUCGCCAUUCAGAUACGGGGAUACUAUCAUACUAAAUGUGCACUAAGGGUAUUUUUUGCCAGACCUUCUGCAUCUCAUCGUUUUUAUACUAUCUUUGGAGAUCUCUAUAACUAUAUGGGAUUUUAUUUAAAACCAAAUAAACUUACCUGAAAGAACAUCCAGGUUGGAUACUCUCCGAGCUUGACAGCAAUACAAGCACCCAAAGCUAUGAACACAGUGGAUAUGCUGUCACAUCCAUGAUCAAACAAUUCUCCCAAAGGAGAUUGACUGCCUGUCCGUCUUGCUUGUUUACCAUCAAUGGCAUCCAGGCUCUGAUAAACAAAGACACCUAAGGCGCACAGAGCACAUGCCCAUCUUGGUGGGUCUUGUCUGGCAUCAGGACUGUACCUAAUGUAAAAAAAGAAUAAAUUAGUGAAAUGUUUGUGUUUUAAGCUGUGUAGUGUAUUUCUAGCCAAAUAAUUUCAUUAGUGAAGUUGAGAAUUGGAGACUGUCUAUUUAAAACUAUGUUGUAAUUAAGAUCCCUCUUACUUAGCUUUUUUUGUUGUUGUUUUUAAGCAACCAAUUAAAAUUUUAUUGCUUAAUCAACAACACUAAUUGAUAAAUAGUGUUUGAGGUUCUUUUUGUCUGAGAAUAAGUAAAAUCAACAUCAUAAUCUUUAACGGUACCAUGUUUAGCUCAGUCGAGAAAAAAAUAUUAAUACUUUAUUUUGAAUAACCUGUUUAAUUACUGAUAUUUAUGAUCUAUAAACUGCAAAAUUGUCUAAUUACAAUCCCUCAUAAAUAACAGAAGCGCUCAUUCAGUACAUUGUUCUAAAAUUAGUAAAAAUUGUAUACUUAAAUUAAUGACGGCACUAAGAUAUAAACCUGUAAAAUAAGUAAAACAUUCAAACAAAGCAUGGAUUCCACUGUAGAGGAUCCUCCAGUAAUAAAUAUUAAAAACAGUGUACUUUGGAUAAA